rnacentral:rRNA from 1 species
GGGGAAUUUUGGACAAUGGGCGCAAGCCUGAUCCAGCAAUGCCGCGUGCAGGAUGAAGGCCUCCGGGUUGUAAACUGCUUUUGUACGGCACGAAAAGCCUCUCUCUAAUACAGGGGGGUGAUGACGGUACCGUACGAAUACGCACAGGCUAUCUCCGUGCCAGCAGCCGCGGUAAUACGUAGGGUGCAAGCGUUAAUCGGAAUGACUGGGCGUAAAGCGUGCGCAGGCGGUUUUGUAAGACAGUGGUGAAAUCCCCGGGCUCAACCUGGGAACUUCCAUUGUGACUGCAAGGCUGGAGUGCGGCAGAGGGGGAUGGAAUUCCGCGUGUAGCAUUGAAAUGCGUAGAUAUGCGGAGGAACACCGAUGGCGAAGGCAAUCCCCUGGGCCUGCACUGACGCUCAUGCUCGAAAGCGUGGGGAGCAAACA